rnacentral:lncRNA from 1 species
CAGCCUCAAACACUCUUGGAUGCAAGUAUGAUAUGCCUGUCUUAACAAGAUCUGAAAGAUUCAAGAUUUAUCAGAAAUAUCUUGGUCCAAUGAUUGUCGACCCUACUGAGGCAAACAAGCCAUUUCAUGCUAAUAAAAAACAAUUAAAUCAUAAUUUGGAUAACAGUUGUAAAAAAGUAGAGGCUAAAAGAAAGAAAGAAGGUACAAGCAGAAAGAGACAUUUUAUGAGGAGGUUCAGUAAGUGUAUUAAUGACUUCUUCCAAAUGAGGAAGUCAUAAUUUUCCUUGGAUGCAUUUUGGAUUGGAUUGGAUUGCUU